ensembl:lncRNA
GUAGGUGUACACCACUGCCUCAGCCAGAGGGAUAAAAUAGCUAGAAGAGAGAGAGAGAGAGAGGGAGGGAGGGAGAGAGAGCGACAGAAAGGGAGGGAGAGAGGGUGUUGUGAGGGUGGGGGGAAGCAGAAUGAGAGAGAGAGAGAAUCAGAUCCAGAGAGAAACAGAAAGAGCUAAAAUGCAGCUGCUAUUCUGGAUGCUGGUUGAGCCACAAAUAAAAUGACAGGGCGAGAGAGAGAGAGAGAGAGGGGAGGUGGGCCUGUCUGGAGACACCUUCAUCAAUUAAUGCCCCUGGAGUCGACGCCCAUUGGACGCCGCUGACAGGUGAUGCAAUAAAAAUGGAUAUUCCAUCCCCACCCACCCGCCCACCUACCCCUCCAGCACCCUGCCAUUACAAUAGUUUACAACUGUGCCCACAGUCUCCGCCGUCUGAGUAAAUAAUGCUGUUAUGACAUUUUUUCCUCGAUAGCUAAAUAAAGAGCUGCAGAAAAUCCAGCCCAGUGCAGAGUUUGUGUAGAGCCGGUGUAAGUAGUCCGAGCCGGAAAAUAGUCAUGACAGGACGAGAUGUAACGUGCUAAUUCUCCCCGCGGUCGUCAUCAGAAUGUAUGUAACCGUAGCAAGCAAUCGAUUGCAUGUUGGUAAAAAUGACUCCAGUCAGCACGUGCUAUUUUAGUCGGGCUGAUGUGCGUUACGGACGUGCUGCUUAAACAAAGAAAUUUGCCCCGUUUUUUCCCCUCACUGCUUUUCCCCCUGACCAGUAAACAUCAAACUUAACUGCUUUAGUGUGUUCGAGCCUUUUAUCCUGAUUUUUCUUCCCCAAGGUUGUAGGCCUUCUAUAGACUGACCUACUUAUCAGCUGAGACCACAUAGGCUCGCGUCCAUCAGCCUGGUGAUACCGUAAUAAACGAACCGGCGUUCCCAGCGUUUCAGAAACCAUUUAAACCGUCUAAGCUGCGUGUGUGUGAAUUUUGCGGAGUCACGCAAUUCCUGUGAAAUUGUACCUUGUUUAACCGUGAUUUUUGAGCGUGAUCACAGUGUCAGGUCGGGGCUGCUUUUCCAACAUGAUUUUCCGCAUGUUUUGUAAUAUUAACACCGAUAAUAAUUCUUCAAAAACCGGAUCAAGAGUUCCGUUUUAAAUUAGUUUUUCAACAAGGCACACAGAAGCACUUAUGAAAAAUAUCAUUCUAUAAAUUGCACGGAAAAUACGCAAUAGGCUGUUGCGUCACGAAUAUGUGCUUUGAUUAUGUUUCCAUCAACAAGUAGCUUAUCUGAGGGGGAGGGCGUGCACCCUGACUUUUGUGAGAUUAUUCAUUAAAAACAAACACCUUUUGUUUCUAGAGAUUUCUUUGUAUUUCUUGUAAAAUGCACAGUAUACACAGUUUGUCUUUGCGCACGUCAGAAACGCAAACACGCGCACACACUCGAACGACAUUAGAAUUCAUUAGAAUGAACACGCACGCACGCGCAGAACUACACAAAACUACACAAAACAGCGCGGAUCUGAGACCGGCACACCUUUUUUCACGCACACGGCCACAGAUAUGGGAAGAACCCCCCCAACACACACACACACACACGGGUUACAAAAUAAUGUGACCGUGUAGUACGGACUAAUUGUUUGAAAUAGCAACGGGCCACAGUUAGCCUGAAUGGACUGACUAUUAUGUUCGCCCCUGAGCCAUAUUUUUUUCUCCAAUACUCCCCGGGUUAUAUUCCAUCUUUGUGAUCUAUAAAACACGUGAAUCCCUUGUGACCAGUUCCUCCUGUUCCUGCUGCCGGUGCUGCAGCGCGGUGGGGUCAAACUCAGCACUGGGCAUACUCGUUUCCAUAAAUAUUAAGCCUAUUUGCUUAUUUACUGGCUUGUCACUGCGCGCUGAAUAGCAUCGAUGUUACCAGUGUGUUACAUCAAACGGCGUGUCACAUGUGUAGGCGUUGUUAUUAUAGAUCCUUAAAUAUCUGAACGAUUAAGAACAUCAUAUCCACAAUAUCCGUGCAGGACCGGGACUGUGGUGCGUAACCACCAACGUGGUGCUGCUGGACUCAAGAACAAGAUGAUGCCACAGGGCACUUAUUCCCCCCUCCAUUGCGCCUGGAUGUCGGCCGGGGACCAGCGGGAGGAACCAAGAACGAGUGGCCGGGAGAGAGUUCUCAAGUACGGUGAAGGUUUCUAUGCAGCAGCCCCUCUGUGUGCUGGUGAAGCGUGGGGGAAUGAUCGUGAUUAAAUCUCACAGUUAAGGCUCACGCUCAGCCUUGCCAUUGUAACUGUGCUGUAUGUGGUGAGGUCUCUGUAAACUGUAGGACAUAUUUAAAACAUACUGGGAGUGAGCGACAUUGUGAUCUAGAUUCCAAAUGAUGGCGUAGCUUUUAUUUCCUUUCCAAAGUGAAAUAUAGAUAAUUUUUUAAGACGACGUUUUAAACUUUUUAAAUUUUUUAUACUAAAUAAGUUUUAAGCAAUAAUAUGUUGCAUUUGUAACUUCACCGUGGACGUCCAAGGCUUAACCGAUUACGGGUAAGGACUUUACUCACUUAUGCAGAUAUGAUCAAUAAACACACGUGAUGACGUCUGCAUCCUGGUGUUUUGCUCUACUUUUCACUUGACUGAUU